GGAGGGAUGGCUGAGUGGUCGAAAGCGGCGGUCUUGAAAACCGUUGAGUGUAACAGCUCCGUGGGUUCGAAUCCUACUCCCUCCG
rfam:Desulfobacterales bacterium S5133MH16 k99_699223, whole genome shotgun sequence.